AUUGAACGCUAGCGGGAUGCUUUACACAUGCAAGUCGAACGGAGUGGCGGACGGGUGAGUAAUAUAUCGGAACGUGCCCAGUAGCGGGGGAUAACUACUCGAAAGAGUGGCUAAUAUCGCAUACUAUUGGAGCGGCCGAUAUCGGAUUAGCUAGUUGGUGGGGUAAAGGCUCACCAAGGCAACGAUCCGUAGCUGGUUUGAGAGGACGACAAUCCACAUGGGGACUGAGACACGGCCCAUACGCCGACGGGUGGCGGCAGGGGGGAAUGUUGGAGAAUGGGGGAAACCAUGCUCCAGCCCUCCCGCGUGUAUGAUGAGGGCCUUCGGGUUGUAAAGUACUUUUGGCAGAGAAGCGGUAUCUGCUGAAUAAGCACCGGCUAACUAAGUGCCAGCCGCCGCGGUAAUAC
rnacentral:rRNA from 1 species